GCCAGAGGUGAAGGAGGACGAUGCGGACGAUGCGGACGGUACGGACGGACGGACGGACGGACGGACGGACGGACGGACGGACGGACGGACAGACAGACAGUUGUCUCAGAUGAGAUCAGGGCCACAUUGGUUGACCAUGUGCUCAACCAUGGAUUGAGUAUGAGGGAGUCUGGGCAGAGAGUUCAGCCCAACCUGAGCUGCUACACGGUUGCAUCUAUCAUCCGUACAUUCAGAAAUAACAACCAAACUGAGAGACGGCCAGGAGACCGUGUUGGUGGCAAACAAUGCCAUUAGCCUACGAGACAUCCAGAACCACAUCCAUUUCAGACAACAUAACAUGUUUCAGACAACAUAAUAUUCAGUAACAUUCACCAGGUGGGCUUGUCUACAUUGGACUGUGUAUUAUAGCGCAACUGAAUCCUGAUGAAACCAGGCCUACAGGUCACCAUUUGAGAGGGUUAAAGAACAGCACUAUGAAUAUGAGCAAGUAAGUACUAUACUGUGAAUUUACUAUCAUAUCAGCACUGUGGACACAUUACAUUAUUUUGGCGCUGGAUGCCGCUGCAAUUCAGCACGUUUAUAUAAACCAUUGAUGAGGCUGGCUUCAGCCGAGCCAAAAGAAGGGGCCGGAACAUUAUUGGCCACCGUGCCAUUGUGAAUGUCCCUGGACAGCAUGGAGGGAAUAUCACCAUGUGUGCAGCCGUUAGCCAGCAAGGCAUCAGCCAUCACCAUGCCAACCUUAGUCCCUACAACACCGCCCUUCUCAUCACAUUCCUGGACUCACUACACGGCAUCCUCAUUCCAGCCGAGCAGAGGGGUGGACCAGAGCAGCCCAGGUAUGUUGUCAUCUGGGACAACGUGAGUUUCCACCGGGCUGCUCUAGUUCAUCGACCACCCACAGUUUGUUCUAUACCUCCCACCAUAUUCCCCAUUCCUAAACACAAUUGAAUAGUUUUUUUCCGGCAUGGUGAUGGAAGGUGUAUGACCACCAUCCCCUCACACGCCUCUUCAGGCAAUGGAGGAUGCAUGUGGUGAAGUUGAUGUGGGGGCUAUCGACGGCUGGAUCCGUCACUCCAGAAGAUUCUGUUUAGCCAGGGAGAACAUCGCUUGUGAUGUGGAUGAGGUGCUGUUUAGCCAGGGAGAACAUCGCUUGUGAUGUGGAUGAGGUGCUGUUUAGCCAGGGAGAACAUCGCUUGUGAUGUGGAUGAGGUGCUGUUUAGCCAGGGAGAACAUCGCUUGUGAUGUGGAUGAGGUGCUGUUUAGCCAGGGAGAACAUCGCUUGUGAUGUGGAUGAGGUGCUGUUUAGCCAGGGAGAACAUCGCUUGUGAUGUGGAUGAGGUGCUGUUUAGCCAGGGAGAACAUCGCUUGUGAUGUGGAUGAGGUGCUGUUUAGCCAGGGAGAACAUCGCUUGUGAUGUGGAUGAGGUGCUGUUUAGCCAGGGAGAACAUCGCUUGUGAUGUGGAUGAGGUGCUGUUUAGCCAGGGAGAACAUUGCUUGU